rnacentral:rRNA from 1 species
CAGCCGCCGCGGUAAUACGUAGGGUCCGAGCGUUGUCCGGAAUUACUGGGCGUAAAGAGCUCGUAGGCGGCUUUGUAAGUUAGAGGUGAAAGCCCGGAGCUCAACUCCGGAACUGCCUUUGAGACUGCAUCACUUGAACGUCGGAGAGGCGAGUGGAAUUCCGAGUGUAGAGGUGAAAUUCGUAGAUAUUCGGAAGAACACCAGUGGCGAAGGCGGCUCACUGGACGACUGUUGACGCUGAGGUACGAAAGCGUGGGGAGCAAACAGGAUUAGAUACCCCAGUAGUCCCUGUCUCUUAUAA